rnacentral:sRNA from 1 species
CUAUGUAAUUCUAUAAGCGUUUUAGUUUUUAAAAUUGUAAUGCUUUCUGUUGCUCAUAUAUUGAUCAAAAACUGAUCAACCUAUGAGUAGUACUUUGAGGUUGUAUGUGUUCGAUUUUGUCUCCUCCUGCAGUGAAUUGAUUUUUCUUAAGCAGAUUGAUUAGAUGGAGCUGCCUUGAUUUAUACAUCAGUGAAAGAAGAGAAAAACCUCGACUUGUUGUAUAAGUAUAUUGUUCAUAAAACAUACGGUUUCCACUUCACCACACCUGCCUUAGUUGUGGAAAAGGAUGCCGUUUUUAUACCUGCAGGCUGGGACAAUGAAAAGAAAAUAGCUAUUUUACAUGAAAAUUUUACAACCGUGAAGCCGGAAGAUGCAUAUGAAGACUUUAUUGUGAAACCUCCCGUGAGAAAGCUGGUCCACGACAAAGAGUUGGCAGCAGAAGAUGAGCAGGUGUUCCUAAUGAAGCAACAGUCACUCCUUGCCAAGCAACCAGCCACGCCCACGAGAGCUUCUGAAUCUCCUGCAAGAGGACCCUCUGGCUCUCCAAGGACCCAGGGUCGGGGAGGGCCAGCCAGUGUGCCUAGCUCCUCCCCAGGCACGUCAGUAAAAAAGCCGGACCCAAACAUCAAAAAUAAUGCAGCAAGUGAAGGGGUGUUGGCCAGCUUCUUCAACAGUCUGUUGAGUAAAAAGACAGGCUCUCCUGGAAGUCCUGGUGCUGGUGGGGUGC